UGGGGAAUAUUGCACAAUGGGCGCAAGCCUGAUGCAGCCAUGCCGCGUGUAUGAAGAAGGCCUUCGGGUUGUAAAGUACUCUCAGCGGGGAGGAAGGGAGUAAAGUUAAUACCUUUGCUCAUUGACGUUACCCGCAGAAGAAGCACCGGCUAACUCCGUGCCAGCAGCCGCGGUAAUACGGAGGGUGCAAGCGUUAAUCGGAAUUACUGGGCGUAAAGCGCACGCAGGCGGUUUGUUAAGUCAGAUGUGAAAUCCCCGGGCUCAACCUGGGAACUGCAUCUGAUACUGGCAAGCUUGAGUCUCGUAGAGGGGGGUAGAAUUCCAGGUGUAGCGGUGAAAUGCGUAGAGAUCUGGAGGAAUACCGGUGGCGAAGGCGGCCCCCUGGACGAAGACUGACGCUCAGGUGCGAAAGCGUGGGGAGCAAACAGG
rnacentral:rRNA from 1 species